GAGUUUGAUCCUGGCUCAGGACGAACGCUGGCGGCGUGCUUAACACACGCAAGUCGAACGGAGCGAUUUAUUUCGGUAAAUCGCUUAGUGGCAAACGGGUGAGUAACGCGUAGGCAACCUGCCCUCGGGAUGGGGACAACGGCUCGAAAGAGCCGCUAAUACCGAAUGACGUAUCUCUCUCACAUGGGAGAGAUACUAAAGAUGGGUCAAACCAUCGCCCGAGGAUGGGCCUGCGUCUGAUUAGCCAGUUGGUGAGGUAACGGCUCACCAAAGCAACGAUCAGUAGCCGGUCUGAGAGGAUGAACGGCCACAAUGGGACUGAGACACGGCCCAUACUCCUACGGGAGGCAGCAGUGGGGAAUCUUCCGCAAUGGGCGAAAGCCUGACGGAGCAACGCCGCGUGAGUGAAGAAGGUCUUCGGAUCGUAAAGCUCUGUUGUCGGGGACGAAAGGAAAGGGGAGGCAAUGCCCUUUUUAAGACGGUACCCGACGAGGAAGCCACGGCUAACUACGUGCCAGCAGCCGCGGUAAUACGUAGGCGGCAAGCGUUGUCCGGAAUUAUUGGGCGUAAAGGGAGCGCAGGUGGGACGGUAAGUCUGUCUUAAAAGG
rnacentral:rRNA from 1 species